rnacentral:rRNA from 1 species
UAAACAUUGAUACUUUUUACACCCACUAUCCGCCCGGGUACUACAAGCAUUAGCUUAAAACCCAAAGGACUUGGCGGUGCUUAAGAUCCCCCUAGAGGAGCCUGUUCUAGAACCGAUAAUCCACGUUUAACCUCACCCUCUCUUGUUUUUCCCGCCUAUAUACCGCCGUCGUCAGCUUACCCUAUGAAGGCCUAAUAGUUAGCAAAAAUGGCACAGCCCAAAACGUCAGGUCGAGGUGUAGCACAUGAGUGGGGAAGAAAUGGGCUACAUUCCCUAAAAAUAGGAGAAAUACGGAUAAUAUAUUGAAAUAUAUAUUUUAAGGAGGAUUUAGCAGUAAGAGGAAAUUAGAGCGUUCCACUGAAUCCGGCCCUAAAGCGCGC